rnacentral:misc_RNA from 1 species
UCCGGUUUGACACCGGCAGUCCCCUUAGAGUCCCCGCCAUGACGCGCUGGUAACUAAGGGCAAAGGUUUCGCUCGUUAAGGGACUUAACCCGACAUCUCACGACACGAGCUGACGACAGCCAUGCAGCACCUGUACUAGUUGUACUCCUUGCGGAGCCUACUCGACUUUCACCGAGAUAAUCCUAGCAUGUCAAGCCCAGGUAAGGUUCUGCGCGUUGCUUCGAAUUGAACCACAUGCUCCACCGCUUGUGUGAGCCCCCGUCAAUUUCUUUGAGUUUUAGCCUUGCGACCGUACUUCCCAGGCGGUCUACUUAACACUUUUGCUUCGACCAUGACGGCGUCAGUGCCGCCACGAUCUAGUAGACAUCGUUUAGGGCUAGGACUAC